GAUGAAGAACGUAGCGAAAUGCGAUAAGUAAUGUGAAUUGCAGAAUUCAGUGAAUCAUCGAAUCUUUGAACGCACAUUGCGCCCGCCAGUAUUCUGGCGGGCAUGCCUGUUCGAGCGUCAUUUCAACCAUCAAGCCCCCGGCUUGUGUUGGGGACCUGCGGCUGCCGCAGGCCCUGAAAGGCAGUGGCGGGCUCGCUGUCACACCGAGCGUAGUAGCAUACAUCUCGCUCUGGGCGUGCUGCGGGUUCCGGCCGUUAAACCACCUUCAUAACCCAAGGUUGACCUCGGAUCAGGUAGGAAGACCCGCUGAACUUAAGCAUAUCAAUAAGCGGAGGA
rnacentral:misc_RNA from 1 species